rfam:Flavobacterium succinicans strain DD5b FLB_contig000017, whole genome shotgun sequence.
CGCUUGCGUGAGGGAUGGCAGUGGAGCUCUUUUUUGAGCAUUUUUUUUGCUCAAAAAAAGCGGGAACGUACAGCCCGACCCGAC